UCCCUGGUGGUCUAGUGGUUAGGAUUCAGCACUUUGACCACUGCAAUUCUGGGUUCAAUUUCUAGUCUGGGAA
rnacentral:tRNA from 1 species